rnacentral:siRNA from 1 species
CUUUGUAGAUGAAAAGUCAUUGC